UACAAUUCAAAUAAAAAAUAUUUUAUUUAUGAAACCAACCAACAAACUACCAGCGGACAAGUUAAUAAACUAAUAGUAUAACUUUCGUACGACUUACACUAAUCGUAUAACUUUCGUUGAAUUCAUUAUGGAUUAAUAUUUUCAUAUCUUAUCUUUGUAAUGAUUUGCGAGUAUGGUGAAAAGUAGCUUCAAGGAUCUAAAGAAAUCGAUGCAGAACGAAGGGGGAAGUGAUGUUUUGGUGAAUGGGCAUCCUGGUGAAAAUGGCAGAGAAGCAAGCUGGACUAACCGGCUAGGAAACUAGUGGUACAUCAGGUCCUUCAAAACUCUUCUGUUCCUUGGUAUCAGUAGCCGUGACUCAUUUCUUAAAGCCUUUCACUGAAGAGCUAAUAUAGUCCUGGCAAACUUGCCCCAACGGUUGAUAAGCUAAAACGUGGGUUCGGGAUGAGA